UUUAACUACGAUGUCGAGUUGAUGUGCAUCUUUUUCAAUUUCUCGUAAACUAGCUGACUCUUGACGAAAAACUCUACAUUGAAACAAUCCUUACAUUCGAAACAACCAGUUAGGAAAAAAACGACAGUUAAAAAUUGAGAAAAAAGGGUUUAUUUGCAAAAAUCUAAAAUUUUGUCUCCAAACCCUACCUGGGGUAAGUGGGGACGGCUUCAUAUAUACCUGAUGUUUACACAUUUUUUCAAUUUUCUCUCCUUCAUUCAAUACAAUUUAGCUUUAUUUAGCAUUCAAAUCAUGAAAAGUUGGGAAAAGUACUUGUUUUUUCUACACCCAAAAAAUUAAAGAAAUUAAUUCUACGGGAUUUUUCACGUAAACUAAGCUUUUCUUCCAUCCCAUCGAUUCUGCGUGCGUCUUGUAGUAGUUACUUUAAUUCCACAUAAAUGACUCAUAAAUUUCACGUAAAAUAUAUGUGGAUGACCAAAACUCCUUUUGUAAUUAACUUUUCAUGAGCGUGUUUUUGUUUACAUUUUAAAUUCUUAUAAGAAAAUUUCUCAGGAAAUCAGUCAGGAGCUGAUAGCUUCCCGUCCCGGUCUACAAAUUUACGUUCCUAUUUUAUCGGUAUCGGUGGUCAUUUUCGGUUCCGUUUCGUGGAUUUACCAGCCGCUCCCACGUACUUGGGUAUGAGACUGAAUCAGCGGCGCGGCACUGGAAUUAAAACAAAGUGUUUUCUUGUUUCCCUCGGAACCAGCGGAAUCAAGUUAAAAAAAGUUAAAAACUGAACGGCAUCCAAGUACGACCGUCAGUACUAAGGGCAAACGGGAAGCUGCAUGAUGGUGCUGCUGAUGGGGCAUCCGGAUUCCCAGCCGAGCGAAGUGGCACUAGUGAGGAUCCUGAAGGUAGCCAAAAUUGUUUUAUAAAUGAAGCAACCAUGUAAUAUGUUCAACGUCGAGUUCAACAUCAGUGCUCCAGGAAACAAGUUCUCUGUAGAUGUAGAUCAGAAUUUUGAAAACCAAUUUGCGCUUUCCAACGGCCGUCGGAUGAUUCAUGGAAUCCAUUGUUUGCAUGUUUUGGAGUGAAAAUAGUGGUUAGUGAAAAGUGGUUUAUUUGUAAUAAUAAAAGAAAAAUAAAAGAAACGAUAAAAUCAACCAAACAUCGAAUUAUUUUUAUUAGGCAAUCAUUUCAAAUUUAUUCCAAAACCAUUAAGAUUCAAGUAAACUAACAAUAACUUCCAUCGUUGAAAUGGCGUUGAACUCACUAAUAAUUCACGUAAGUUGUAGCUGAUGUUCCAUCUACACCAAUUCUAAUUAGGGGAGCGUUUACUUAUUUUAUCCGUAGAAUUUACGUGAAAAUCAAUUGGAUAAAAAUUAUGUAGUUUUUCACGUAGCCGCUACGUGCAGAUUAUUUUGGGUGUAAAAUAAGUAUAUAUUUUCGAUAAUAUCGGUUUACACACGAUAAUCAUUGAAAAAUGCCUUAUUAAUAGUACCAUGAACUUUUUUCGAAAUUUCGGACGAUUCGAGGAAUAAAGUAACGUAUUCAAACAAAAAAACACAAAUUUGUUGAAAAUUUCCUGAGAAAUCAAAGGGAAAAUCUACCGUCCCCACUUACCCCAUAAAGCGGGGUAAGUGAAGACACCAGCAGUCCAUAACAAUUUACGUGAUAACUUUUUUCGCUUUGCGUCUAUCAAGCUCAUCUCUUCAGCAUUUGUGAACAACAUGUUCUGCAUCACGUUGAAUGCGAUUUUAUCAAAAUUGACCCGCUGCUGAUUUCUUAAUGAUUUUUUAAAGUUGAACUAUACGAAAAACCGUCCCCACUUACCCCGGUGUACCUUAAAUAACAGUGCACUUCUAUAUCUUUGAAAAGAGAUACACGCAGCGAAAAGAUUUUUUAUUUCAAAGGAAAGUGCAGCGAAAACAAAGGAAAAUUUCCUUUGAUUUUGGGAUAAAUAAAAAUUUCUUUGUUUCAAAUGCAUUUUCGUUUGUUUCAAAGAAUUUUUCUUUUGAAAAAUCUUUGAUUCAAAAUAUUUAUACUUUGAAACAAAAAAACAGUUUCUUUUGACUCAAAGUUGCAUUCUUUUGCCACAAGGUAAUUUAAUUUAGAUUUAAAAGCAUUUAUUCAUUGAACCAUUUUCUAUCUAUUCCAAUUGGAAGCAUUAUUUUCUGUUGUUUUGAAAUUCCUAUUAGGAAUUACAAAUAAUAAAAAGAAAGGAUUUCAAAUUUAAAAUAUAUUUUUAUUCACAAAUAAACGAAACACUGGGUCACACACUGGUUCACUUCUAUCGAAUCAUCCGGUUUAAAUUUUCGUGGACCUGAUCGCUGGAUUGGAGCGGUGUCACCUCGGUUGAGGCAUCCAGGGACUUGGAAAACCAUCUAUCGGCCGUGGUCCUGUAAAAUUUCAAGCACUUAUUGAAAAUCUUCAAUAUUCAUUCUUUAAUUAACAUAAACUUACCAUACUUUACCCUGAAUCCUCCUAACUAAGCUAACUCUGAUCCACAUUUUCACUCGACCAGCCAAACCGUUUCAAAUUCUUCUUACUCAAUGCAAAAAACCUUCUAAGUUUGAAGUUUUUAUUUUAAGAAAUUAUUCCUUUGCAUUGAAUACAUUUUUCUUUGGUUGAAAGAAAAUUUACUUUGUUUCCAAAUAAAAAUGCAAUUGAACAAAUGUCUUUUGAAUCAAAGAAUUUGUUUAAAAUCAAAGUCCAAAAUUAUUCGAUUCAAAAAUUUAAUUCUUUCUUUCAAAAAUUAUUUAUUUGAAACAAAACCAUAAUUCGUUGAUUCAAAGAAAACAGGAAAUUGAAUCGAAAAAAUUAAUUUUUUGAAUCAAAGUCAGUUUUGUUUUGUUUCAAAAUCCAAGUUUUCUCUGCGUGUAUUUGUAAGGCUUUACUAGAAAAGGGAAUAAAAGAUUAGUUGUAUUCAGACUGUGACCCAGACAUGUCGUCUUUAACUGAACCUCGAUCCGAAUCUCCAAUUUAUAACAUUUAUUUCAGUUUUUUUUUUCAAAUAUAAUAGUAAUGAAAGCUCAUGCGAGAAAUGUAGAUUUGAAAAACUUCAGACAUGAUCAAUUCAAAUUACUUGAAAGGCUGGUGCGAGUUUUGGAUGGGAAAGAGAUUAACAUAUUUUAAAUAUUUUUUUCUUUUUACAACUACGUACUCUAAAUUUAAAAAAGCUUAUACAUACAUCUCCAUUAAGCAAACAUCAACAUAAAUCCUUUCCCGUAGAAAAAAUUUCAAAAUUAUUUUUAUGAUAAAUGAGAAAAAAAUCACCUUGACCAGGAAUCAAACUCCAGUCUACUGAUUACCUCUCCGACAGCUUACCAAUAGGUCAAACCGUCAGAUGAAACAAGUCAAGCUGUAGCUCUAUUAUUCAGUUGACUUCAUCGAGUCGAAUUUGCUGCUAGAUUCCCCGGCAGAAAACUCUCAUCGUGACCCGAUCUAGGUGCUUAUACUGCCCCAGGGGGGUUCUCAUUAUGCCCCUACCAGGCCCGUGCGAAGAACCCGAACAUGGAGGGGGGGGGGGGGGCUGGGUUUUCAAAA